UACGUAGGGUGCAGGCGUUAAUCGGAAUUACUGGGCGUAAAGCGUGCGCAAGCGGUCUUUUAAGUCAGAUGUGAAAUCCCCGGGCUUAACCUGGGAACUGCGUUUGAAACUGGAAGGCUUGAGUGUGGCAGAGGGGGGUGGAAUUCCACGUGUAGCAGUGAAAUGCGUAGAGAUGUGGAGGAACACCGAUGGCGAAGGCAGCCCCCUGGGCUAACACUGACGCUCAUGCACGAAAGCGUGGGGAGCAAACAGG
rnacentral:rRNA from 1 species